UACAGAGGUCUCAAGCGUUGUUCGGAUUCAUUGGGCGUAAAGGGUGCGUAGGUGGCGGGGUAAGUCAGGUGUGAAAUCUCGAGGCUCAACCUCGAAACUGCACUUGAUACUGCCUUGCUCGAGUACUGGAGAGGAGAUUGGAAUUUACGGUGUAGCAGUGAAAUGCGUAGAUAUCGGAAGGAACGCCGGUGGCGAAAGCGACGUGCUGGACCUCUUCUGACGCUGAGGCGCGAAAGCUAGGGGAGCAAACGGG
rnacentral:rRNA from 1 species